GAUUGCGUCUGUACAUCCAUCUAGAUUUUUUACAGUGUGUGGUUGCCCAUUCGCGUGUAUAUGUCUGCCUUAAGUGCCGAACGCUGUUCCAGAUUUGCAGUGGCGCGGAGAUGUGCGGGCAAACGGGAGUGUUGAUGCGCCAAGAUCCGCCGCUUGUAACAGUCGUCCGUACGUGUCUUCUUCUUCUGGCAAUGGGCAACGGGCGCUGGUGGUUGAUAGGGGGCGCUGUGCUUGGCGCGUCUGUAAUCCGCGGUUAAUAGGCUGGAAUGGAUGGGCGAUGAUGAACGAGUAAAAGCCAUAAAAGCUGAGUCUAUCUCUCGUGUCGUCUCAGUUUGCAUGUCUCCUCACUCUGCAAAGUCUAUAGUGGUCGUUUCAGCCUGGGCGUGGCAUUCUAUCUCGCCUUUUUUUCUUUCUUCCCCCCCCCCCCCAUUCUUCUCUCUUUGCCUAUUUCUCUUGCGUCUUAUUUUCUAUUCGUCUUGCUAAAUACACUGUAAACUUUCACAUGUCUAGUUGAGUACGAAGAGAUGCGUGUUGUCAACGUUGUCUCGAAAAACAAAAAUAAAUAAAAUGGUUCCAGACUGUGCGACUUGCUACAGGGCUAGCCUAUUUGAAUGCAGCCAACUUCUCCUAUCAAAGAAUGAUAUCUUUUCUGUUUAGUCGCUACUGUUUCAAGACUCUCGCAAGGACACAAUGUCUGCAACAGUGAAAUGCAACCAAGGACCCACGCUCGAUAUUGAGUAACUUGACGGGUGCAACCUUUUUUUUUAAGGAGAUCACUAAUGAAUCAACGAUUUCAAAAUGUUUAAGUUUUAAAGAAUCAAAGGAAUUGUAUUGUUUUUCUUGUUAUAGCCAAUGGUUCAGACUGCGAUUACAUAUAUUG